GACGAACGCUGGCGGCGUGCUUAACACAUGCAAGUCGAACGGAAAGGCCCUGCCUUUGUGGGGUGCUCGAGUGGCGAACGGGUGAGUAACACGUGAGUAACCUGCCCUUGACUUUGGGAUAACUUCAGGAAACUGGGGCUAAUACCGGAUAGGAGCUCCUGCUGCAUGGUGGGGGUUGGAAAGUUUCGGCGGUUGGGGAUGGACUCGCGGCUUAUCAGCUUGUUGGUGGGGUAGUGGCUUACCAAGGCUUUGACGGGUAGCCGGCCUGAGAGGGUGACCGGCCACAUUGGGACUGAGAUACGGCCCAGACUCCUACGGGAGGCAGCAGUGGGGAAUAGUGCACAAUGGGCGGAAGCCUGAUGCAGCAACGCCGCGUGCGGGAUGACGGCUUUCGGGUUGUAAACCGAUUUCGCCUGUGACGAAGCGUGAGUGACGGUAAUGGGUAAAGAAGCACCGGCUAACUACGU
rnacentral:rRNA from 1 species